AGAAUCAACGCUGGCGGCGUGCCUAACACAUGCAAGUCGCACGAGAAAGGGUAGCAAUACCUGAGUACGAGUGGCGCACGGGUGAGUAACACGUGAAUUAUCUACCUCCGAGUGGGAAUAACUGAGAGAAAUCUUAGCUAAUACCGCAUAACACUUACGAGUCAAAGCAGCAAUGACGCUUGGAGAGGAGUUACGCGGCAGAUUAGUUAGUUGGCGGGGUAAUGGCCCACCAAGACGAUGAUCUGUA
rnacentral:rRNA from 1 species